ACCUCCCAAGGCUAAAUACUAACUGGUGACCGAUAGUGAAGCAGUACCGUGAGGGAAAGGUGAAAAGAACCCCGGGAGGGGAGUGAAAUAGAACCUGAAACCGUAUGCUUACAAACAGUGGGAGCACGUUAAUGUGUGACCGCGUGCUUUUUGUAGAACGAGCCAGCGAGUUACGGUAUGUAGCAAGGUUAAGCACUUAAGGUGCGUAGCCGAAGGGAAACCGAGUCUGAAUAGGGCGACUAGUUGCAUGCCGUAGACCCGAAACCGAGUGACCUAUCCAUGGGCAGGUUGAAGCGGAAGUAAAAUUCCGUGGAGGACCGAACCACGUUGGUGUUGAAAAACCAUGGGAUGACCUGUGGAUAGCGGAGAAAUUCCAAUCGAACUCGGAGAUAGCUGGUUCUCCUCGAAAUAGCUUUAGGGCUAGCGUCUGGUUAUUGAGUAAUGGAGGUAGAGCACUGAAUGGGCUAGGGGCUGACAACAGUUACUGAACCCUAUCAAACUCCGAAUGCCAUAUACUUUUAUCCAGGCAGUCAGACUGCGAGUGAUAAGAUCCGUAGUCGAGAGGGAAACAACCCAGACCAUCAGCUAAGGUCCCAAAGUGUAAGUUAAGUGGAAAAGGAUGUGGGAUUUCUAAGACAACUAGGAUGUUGGCUUAGAAGCAGCCACUCAUUUAAAGAGUGCGUAAUAGCUCACUAGUCAAGAGAUCCUGCGCCGAAGAUGUCCGGGGCUCAAACUUACCACCGAAGCUAUGGAUUCAAUAGAAUGGUAGAGGAGCUUCCUGUAUGGGUAGAAGUCGUAUCGUAAGAAGCGGUGGACUGUACAGGAGUGAGUAUGCUGGCAUGAGUAGCGAGAAAUAAGUGAGAAUCUUAUUGGUCGAAAACCUAAGGUUUCCUGAGGAAGGUUCGUCCGCUCAGGGUUAGUCGGGACCUAAGCCCAGGCCGAAAGGCGUAGGUGAUGGACAAUCGGUUGAUAUUCCGAUACCGCCAACUUUCGUUUGACAAAUGGGGUGACACAGAAGGAUAAGGUAUGCACACUAUUGGAUGUGUGUCUAAGCACUUAGGCGUGCUUGAUUGGCAAAUCCGUCAAGCUAAGCUGAGGUGUUAUGGGGAGCCUAUUUUGGCGAAGUGCCUGAUUCCACACUGUCAAGAAAAGCCUCUAUGGAGAAUGUUGGUGCCCGUACCGCAAACCGACACAGGUAGGUGAGGAGAGAAUCCUAAGACCAUCGGAAGAAUUGCUGUUAAGGAACUAGGCAAAUUGACCCCGUAACUUCGGGAGAAGGGGUGCCAUGGAAACAUGGCCGCAGUGAAUAGGCCCAAGCAACUGUUUAGCAAAAACACAGGUCUCUGCUAAAGCGAAAGCUGAUGUAUAGGGGCUGACGCCUGCCCGGUGCUGGAAGGUUAAAGGGAUCCGUUAGCGUAAGCGAAGCGGUGAACUUAAGCCCCAGUGAACGGCGGCCGUAACUAUAACGGUCCUAAGGUAGCGAAAUUCCUUGUCGGGUAAGUUCCGACCCGCACGAAUGGCGUAAUGACUUGGGCACUGUCUCAACAGCAAAUCCGGCGAAAUUGUAGUGCAAGUGAAGAUGCUUGCUACCCGCGAUAGGACGGAAAGACCCCGUAGAGCUUUACUGUAGCUUAACAUUGAAUUUCGGUAUUGUCUGUACAGGAUAGGUGGGAGACUUAGAAGCAGGAGCGUCAGUUUCUGUGGAGUCAUCCUUGGGAUACCACCCUGAUAGUACUGAAAUUCUAACCGGGGACCAUGAAUCUGGUCACGGGACAUUGUUAGGUGGGCAGUUUGACUGGGGCGGUCGCCUCCUAAAAAGUAACGGAGGCGCCCAAAGGUUCCCUCAGCGCGGUCGGAAAUCGCGCGUAGAGUGUAAAGGCAUAAGGGAGCCUGACUGCGACACAUACAGGUGGAGCAGGGACGAAAGUCGGGCUUAGUGAUCCGGUGGUUCCUCGUGGGAGGGCCAUCGCUCAACGGAUAAAAGCUACCUCGGGGAUAACAGGCUGAUCUCCCCCAAGAGUCCACAUCGACGGGGAGGUUUGGCACCUCGAUGUCGGCUCGUCGCAUCCUGGGGCUGGAGUAGGUCCCAAGGGUUGGGCUGUUCGCCCAUUAAAGCGGCACGCGAGCUGGGUUCAGAACGUCGUGAGACAGUUCGGUCCCUAUCCGUCGCGGGCGUAGGAAAUUUGAAGGGAGCUGUCCUUAGUACGAGAGGACCGGGAUGGACUGACCUCUGGUGCACCAGUUGUCACGCCAGUGGCACAGCUGGGUAGCUAAGUCGGGAAGGGAUAAACGCUGAAAGCAUCUAAGCGUGAAGCCCACCCUAAGAUGAGAUUUCCCAUGACGUAAGUCAAUAAGAUCCCUUGAAGAACACAAGGUUGAUAGGUCAGAGGUGUAAGUGCAGCAAUGUAUUUAGCUGACUGAUACUAAUAGAUCGAAGGCUUGAUCAAAUU
rnacentral:rRNA from 1 species